AGCUCAGUGGUAGAGCUAUCGGCUGUUAACCGAUCGGUCGUAGGUGAGAGCGCCUGCUUUGCACGCAGGAGGUCAGCGGUUCGAUCCCGCUAGGCUCCA
rnacentral:tRNA from 1 species